CCCAUUUUGGACUUAACCUCUAUAAAUAUCCUAUAACCCUAACCUCUCUCAUUUUACUCCUCCAAGCGCCGCCAUCCUAUUCCCCAAACAUUAAAAAUUCUCUCAACUAAUCCUGAGUUAAUCUUAUUUAUUUUUCAAACAAGAUAAGUUCUAAAACUCUUCAAUUUGGUGGUAGUUUUGAUAUCAUGGGUAUGAUUACGUGGUGUUAUUUCUACUCUUAUUUUAUCCAUAGCCCUUUUGUACUGCAUCUUGCGCAUAAAAAUUCUUAUGCAUCAUUAGUAGUUGUCGUUGUGCUCGUGUUGUUAGUUGUUGAAUUGAUUAGUUAUUGCUUCAUUAAGUUGCCUUAGGGGAUAUCGACGGGGCUUUACUAAUUUGAGGGUAUGUAGUUCAAGUUAAAGUGUGGGGUGGGGCGAGUUCUUUGUACUUUCUAUAUAUACAAUUGGGCUUCGAUUCAUGAAUGUUGUUUUAGUCUAAAUACAUAGAUAGAGGAUGUAUCUACCAAAACAAAGGUUACUUGCUCUUUUUGUGCUUGAUUAUGUUAAUUAUUACAUGCAACAUCGAGAUUGAUGUCGUAUCGCAAAGGGAAGUCUGAGUACCUACUGUGAUAAUUCUGAAAUGCUACGCACAUAAUCGAGCUUGCACUAUCUUGUUCACCUUACUAAUUAGUAACUGAAUUACAUAAUGGUAUGUUCAAAGUGGAUUGAUCUUAACCGAAUUGUUGAACUAGACAUUCUUUGACCAUAUACUAUGUGGCCUAUGAUUGAGUAAUUGGUUAGCAUAGAUUAGUUGUUGUUAAGUUAGUUGACGCCCUUUUAACUGUGACAUUUUCUGUUAUGCACUUUCUACUAUCGUUAGAAUUAAGUAUGGAACUAUUGAAAUACAGUCUAGGUACACUUGCACAAUGUAGUAAAAUUGGAGUACUCUUAUUAACCUAUCCUGUAAUAUGAGUAGCAUCGAUAACAACAAAGUGUUAGGUGGCGUUUUCACUAGUCCAAAUGUAGUGAAGUUAGCAUGCUCUAAGCCAUAUUGAAAUGUCUUUGUUGCCUAUUUUAAAUCUCAGGAAUUAUGAAUCGAAGGAAACUAGGACUAAAUGGAAAAUCAAGGACUUCAAAGUCAGCGAGGAAAUGCAGCAGACCAGCUGCGAGGCAAAUUAAUAGAGUGCCCCAUGCUCCUCCAGUCCUACAUGGUCAAACACGUAGAUUUGGGUUUAAGGAAGUUAGGCAAGACGGAAAGCAAUGGCACUCCAAACACCUCGACACCAAAUACAUACCUAAGAUGUUUAUUGAUAGUGUAAGUCUAUAGAGAAAAUGACCAAGUAUGGUAAGUCAUCUGGAGCAGCUGAACAUAGUUUUCAUUUUCCACUAGCUGCGUGAAUGCAAUUUGCAUCUUGUGCAUGAGUUUUAUGCAAAUUAGGACCCAAGGGAUGUACAUCAUGAGGUGAAAGUUCAUGGUAAAAUCGUCAUAUUUACUUUAGAGGACAUCAAUGACUUGUUGGGAAUACCUGAGGCAGAUGUACAUUAGUUAAAAUAGUUGAUUAUCACUCUGAAUUAUGCUUACAAUCUACAUCUGUUGUGUGGUACUCAUUCAUUAGCCCGAUAGACUAGACAAAAGGGCACAGGUCUUCAUUCCUCAUUACCAUAUGCAUAGAUGAACAAGGAAGCUCGCAUAUGGGGAUGAAUUAUGCACUAUUUCCUAAUUCAAGGCAAGCAUAUGACUGAGGUUACACAUAAACGGGUAUGUUUGACUUACGCUUCAUAGUGUAAUGAUGUUGCAAUGAAUGUAAUCCAUGUCAUAUUUUCUGCCAUAAAAAAGGCACGCUUCAUUGAGAGAUACUGAUAUGGAUUUGGAGGCUUAUUGACUAAGUUCAUAAGGUGGCACUAGGUAGAGAAGAAGGAAUUAGAUUAUAAGGCUAUAAUAGAUAACCACCCUAUUGAUUUUACUAGAGCCAAGAGCACAGCUGGGCCCUUAGGACCAAUUCUUACUAUGGCCGAGUGUCAAAAUUAGACUGAUGAAAUCAUGUCUAGAACAUACAAUUUUUAGAUGUUGUACAUGAGGCUUGGGGGAAGAGCAACCACAGAUGAAGAGAUUCAUGUUGUUGACUUGGAUUACCCGCUCGGUCAUCACGCCAAGACAUUGCUGAGGAUUGGACCAGAGUUUAUGGAACCGACAGAUAAUGAUAUACCUACCAAUGAAGACAGACAGUGGCAUGACUUAAAUAUUGAGUCUAAUAUUGAUGAUUAGUCUGAGGAUGUUGAUGGACAGGAUGAUAUUGAUGCAUCUAAUAAUGGUGAUGCAACACAAGUUGACAUGGCUGAUGCCUAGGUUUGCACAUACAAAGAUAGUGCUCUUCCUACGUGUGGGGUGGUCUUGCACCCUCUUCCCUUUUCCUUUUGUCUCUUGAUGUGUGAGAAAAAUCUAACAUAUUUAAUGCUUUUUAGCUCAAAAUAAUUGUGAAUUCUGAAGCAACUCUUGUCGUUUUGAUGUGUUUUCUCAUGAUAUUGCAGUAAAAGGCUGAAGGAAUGGAAAUAAACGAUAAUGGAGAAAAAAAGUUGAAAAUCUGAGCAAAAGAGAAGAAAACAUGACUGACGACAUCCGUGAUAAGUCGUCAGCCUUGUGAUAGACUAUCAGAAGCGGCGUCAGCCUUAACUAGGGACUUGAGUCUGAGAGAAAGUUCUGACAACAUUGGUAAUAAGGCGUCAAGAUAGUGAUAAGGCAUUACAAAUGUCGUCAGCCUUAGCCAGAGAAUCAGAGCUCAAAGAAGAAAUCUGGCGACGCUGGUGAUAUGCCGUCAGAUCAAUGACACGACAUCAGCUACAUCGUUAGCCUAAGAUAGAUUUUGAAGACAGCUGGAGCAACCCUGAUGCCAUCCAUGAUAAGGCAUCAGAUCCUUGACAUGGUGUCAUCUAGUGCGUCACCUAAUCCGAAGAACUUAUGAUUUUUGUUAUUUUAUUUCCAUAAUUAGACUUAAGUAUAAAUAACAUCUUUUAGGGUUUAUUGAGGAGUUCGGUUCUUUUUAGAGAGCAGAUUAUUUUUUAUCCUAAGACUUAGAGAAAAAAACAUUAUUCUUCAUUGUUUCUUUUCCUCAACACUUAUCAAUUAUUGUAGAUUUCUCUUUCGUGAUUGAAUUGAAGAAACAACUUGUUGCUUUUCAUCUGUUCGUAAGUUUAUCAUUAUUAUCAUGAAUUCAACUUGUUAUUUUGUUCAUCAAAUCAUGAGUGGCUAAUUUCAUUAGCCAGAACUAUGGGAUCCAUGGAUUAGGGUUUUAUAGGUUACUACGUAUUUAACGGAUUCAAAAAGUAGCAGAACGUCUUGAAAUUCUAUUAUUUUAACUGAAAUCUAUUGGUUACAAACAUUAGAUUAUGCCUUAGGUUUUAUUUGCUUCUAAUGGAUAAAUAGACUAGAGGUCAUGAAUUAUCAAUAGGGACUCGGAAGCUACGAACCUUCUGUUUAAUGAUCAAUGUCGUAACUGGAUUAAUCUACCUGAGAUAAAAUCAUAUUGGAAAUUGAUAAGUUAUCCAAGUCUGAGAGAAUUUGAUAAUAAAUUGUCUGGUGAGGUCGAGAGAUAAGCCAGAUGGUAUCAUCAUCAGGGAUAUUCUGUUGUUUCUACUUACUUCAAGAAUGUCAAGAAUCACUUAGUAUCUGUUAAUUCCCAAAAUCCAUGGUGAACAUAACUCUGGUUUCCCAUUUAGAUUGAUUACACACUUUAAAAUAUUAGAAGUGACAAUUAACUCACUGUGAAAAUUAAACCCCCAUUUUUGGAAACAUUAAACUACCAGUAAAGUAUUUCAUAAACAAAUUGAAGUUCACACCCUAUUACCUGUGGGAUUCGCCCCCAACCUAGUUGGGUUUUAUAUUUACAACGAUCGCUUACACCCAUUCAAGAGUGUAAUUUGAGCGCUAUCAUCUCUUUAUUUUUGUUAAUUGUGGUUAAUGGUGUGUUGGAUAUUAGUAUUUGUGUUGGAUAUUUUUCUUUUUUCUUUUUUUUCAAUGGUUAGUUAGUUCAACGGUUAAUAGGUUGGAAUUUGCUUUUUAGUAUUUAAUAGUUGUUUUUAUGUAUUUUUUCCCUAGUUGGAAAAACAAAAUAAAUAGUUAGCCUUUAGAAGCUGCAAAUGAUAAGAUCUAAAUUAUUACAACUUUUGAAGAUUUCUAUGUGUUGGGACAUUUUUAUAAUGAAGGACAAAACAAGUUAUUUUUAGAUGCCAAAUAUUAACAGGGAAACAAGAAUUGUUGGCUUAAUGUGGAAGUUGACAAAGAACAGGACUGAAAACAUUGAGGAUCUGGCUAGAUUCUUAGCAUGCAUCGAGUGUGUGAGUAUUUGUUCAUAUUCAACAGGUAAAGGAAUGACUAGAACUUUCCCAGAAAGAAGCGAAAUAAAUAGUGUUGGGUGUAGGAAUGAUUUAGGCAAUUCCUUUUGAAUCUAAUGUUCAAGACUUUAUAUGCCUACCCUUAUGCAUGUCCCAAGUUAACCCUGUUGAGCCUAUAGCCAGAUUUCGUUGGUAGCCUCAGUUGUAGCCUAGUCACUUCUUUGAUAUACCUUGACUCAAUCCAAAGCUCCUAAGCACUUUAACAUAAAGGACUAAAUAGGAAGGUUUUUAAAAUCGAAGGAGAAAGGUGAAAGUGAAGCCCUAAGAAAAUAUUCAUUGUGUGUCUAAAUUUUGAUGAGUAGGAGUUACAGACAAUAUGAAAGAAAUUACAGUUUUUAUUUUGCAGUUUUUACUGCCCGGUUUUUUAUUACAAUGAACCUGUUUUGGUCCUGGUUCAUUUAGGACAAUGUGCACCUCAACCAUAACAAAUAGAUUUUGUUGACGGUGGCUACUAUAAGGGUGCGUAACAAUAAAGGGCAUGUGCAGAAGAGCUUAGAAUUGCUUUGUCAUUUAAAAGAAAAGUACUCUUACUAGAGUUUUUUUUAAUAACAAAACAAAAUUAGGGUGAAACAAUUAAUGUAGGAAGGUAAUGAAGUGGAAUUAUGGCUGAUAGAAUGUUAGUUCGAGUAGGUUGUCAGAUAUUAAAGAGCUUAGGGAGAUUAGUCACUAUUUCCCAAAUAGCUCCUACCCGUCCCAUAGGCUACAUUACAACCUUAGAGAAAAGCUAAUUGGUCGUAUGUUUCAAUAUUUGACUAUUACUAGAGUAUUACACUAAGGGCAAUCUUAUGGUUCAUCUUCUAUCCUAUAGAAAUUCUUUGUCGAGAGUGAGUGGUUGAACAUUGAUACUCCCCUCAUGAGAAAUAUUAAAAAAAUAUUGAGAGUGCUCUGAGGAACUUUAUUGUUGUGCGGGUGCAUGCGGAGGUAAGUCCAGAUUACUUAUUGUCAUUUCAUUGAGUUAUUUGGUUGAAUUUGCUAACAAUUUGAAUGUCACUAUUUAGAAGUUAAGAUUUGAAACAAAUUGUUCAUGUGUAAAAGAGUAUUGUUAAUGCAGUGUGUAGAUGUCCAAUGCUAAGCAUGACUCAUAAGUUGUGAUUAGGAGAUUUAGGGAUUGUGUUUUUUCAAGUUGUUCAAGGACGAACAAGAUUCAAAGGGCGGGGUGGUGAUCUUAGGCAUGUUUAUACGUCAAAUCACAAAUAUUAACCCAUAUUAUGACUUGUUCUAAGAGUUAAGUUAUGCUACUUUGAUAAUAUGAAAUCUCUAAUUGUGUUUCAUAUCUAAUGGACAUGAUUAGUGUGCGCAGGAUUGAAUUUUGAUGAAAUUGACUUUGAUUGGACACAGUAAAGA
rnacentral:lncRNA from 1 species